UACGAAGGGGGCUAGCGUUGCUCGGAAUCACUGGGCGUAAAGCGCACGUAGGCGGACUCUUAAGUCAGGGGUGAAAUCCUGGAGCUCAACUCCAGAACUGCCUUCGAUACUGGGAGUCUUGAGUUCGGGAGAGGUGAGUGGAACUGCGAGUGUAGAGGUGAAAUUCGUAGAUAUUCGCAAGAACACCAGUGGCGAAGGCGGCUCACUGGCCCGAUACUGACGCUGAGGUGCGAAAGCGUGGGGAGCAAACAGG
rnacentral:rRNA from 1 species